ACUGAUCUAGUCAGAUGGUUGCAUUAUCCCAAACUCCUGAGGGGUCGGACUGCUGCAGCCCUGGUUGUUUUGUUUGUUUUGUUUGUUUUUGUGCUGUUUGCUUGGUUGUUUUGUCGUUUUGGUUUUUGUUUUGUUUUGUUUUUGUUUUUGCACCCUUCCCUUAACUCAGACAGAAAGGCCAGUCGCAGUUCUCAUAUUUGCCAGAUCUGCAGUUGUGGCACAGAACAGUUUCCUUUCUCACUCUGUCCUGAGCCAAUGGCGUAGUUAUGGAAGACUGUACCAAAAGCAAAAGGGCCAGAGCUAGGACCCUAACGGAAACCACCGCGCAAUCACAGACCUCUAGGGAAGCCAACUCCAGCUGACAGACAGACAGGCACACACACAUUCUCUUCUCCCCCCCCCCUCUGUCCCUUCUCUUCUUUCCUCCAGAGACAGUAUUUCUCGGUGUAUCAUUGGAACUCACUCUUUUUUAGACCAAUCUGGCCUCAAAUUUAGAGAUCCGAUUCCCUCUGCCUCCGGAGUGCUGGGAUUAAAAGCGUGGGACAUCGCGCCUCCCCCAUUUUAACACCUAUCCCUGGAUGUCAUUGAACUCGAGAGUGUAGACGAGGCUUGCCUCAAAUUCACAGAGAUCCUGUCUCUGUCUGCCAGGCGCUGGCAUUAAAGGCCUACCUCUGGCAGAGAGAAGUUACUUUACCGUUAUUCACGUGUUUGAAACUUUAUGAAGCUACCUUUAAAAUCAAGACAAUUUAAAUGGUGCCGUUGUUCUUCCACCUCCCACCCCGCAUGCUUAUCUGCCCUCCUCUCCCUCUCGUUUUGCAUCCACAGAAACUUAUUCACAUACACAUGCCAGCAGCGCCCCACCCGCAGGUCUCCACAGGUCGAAGAAGGGAGCGGAACAGAAGCUACACCCACACCUCCCGAGAUACCUCCUACUUCCAAACUCCGGGUCUACGAAGGACUUGGCUGGACAGAUGGCUCAGCAGUCCUGAGUUCAAUUCCCAGGAACCAAAUGGUGGCUCACAACCAUCUGUAAUGGGAUCUGCUGCCCUCUUGUGGUGCGUCUGAGGACAGCUGCAGUGUACUC